UGAAGAAUAUUGUGCUUUGGUGCGAUCAACACUAGGAUACUGUUCUGCAGUCUGGAGCCCGAACUACAGCAAUGGAAGCGAACGCAUUGACAAAAUACAACGGCGCUUUCUCCGUUUCGCGUUUCGUAGGUUGCCUUGGAGGGAACCAAUUCGUUUACCGAGAUACGAAAAUCGCUGCAGAUUGAUCGACCUAAACCCACUGCGGAUUCGACGGGACCAUUUGGUGGGGCAAUGAGAGCGCAAGUCAGUCCAAAGCCGAUGAUAAGGAGGGGUAAUGGCUGAAUAGUCUUUGCUGACCACAUAAACGCCAUGGGAUAGGAAAAAGGUAUUUUGGUGAGGGAUUAGGGUGUUGGUACAGACUUGACAAUAUCAAUGCUAUUCAGAUGCAAAAUAAUUUUAAGGCUCAAUAGUGA